rnacentral:lncRNA from 1 species
AUGCAGAGGGUGCAGGCAGCGGGGGGAGUCCGAGCCAUCCUGCCCCUCGCUGGCUUCACCCAGCGGCCCCCAGCCCCCCGUGGCGGAGCAGGAACUCGGACACUUCCCCGAGCCGGGGACCCCCAGGUCCACUCGACGUGCCUCAGUUUCCCUUUUUUGUGCCUCCGAGGGUCCCCCUCCAUGGGACCCGAUUCCCUCUCAUUCCCAGUGGGAUCGAUUUCCCUGGGGUUUCAGCCGCCCGCCGCCCCCCUGGCUCUCCCGGGGACCCCUCCCCGCCGCUUACCCCAGCACGGAGCCGUCGGUGGGAGCGCCGGGACGGGGCCUGCGGGAGCCGCGGCCGCUGCGCUUUUAUGCUGCUGGAUUGAGGAAGUUUGGAGGCAGCCGGAAAAUUUUGGCAGGCAUCGGGUUUGGAUGGGCUGGAGGGAAGGAGGGGACGGGGAGGGGGGACGCGGGGGCUGCCCCCGGCUUCACGUGGUGCUGUGGGACGAGCUGAGUCAGCCCCGGCGCGGGGCUGGCGGCGGGUCCUGCCCGGGGCAUCCUCCUGGCCCCGGGUCGUUCUCCUGGCCCUGGAAGGUUCUCCUGGCCCUGGAAGGUUCUCCUGGCCCUGGAAGGUUCUCCUGGCCCCGGGUCGUUCUCAUGGCCCUGGAAGGUUCUCCUGUCCCAGGAAGGUCCUCCUGUCCCCGAGAUAUCCUCCUGUCCCAGGAAGGUUCUCCUGUCCCUGGGACGUUCUCCUGUCGCAGGAAGGUUCUCCUGGCCCCGGGACAUUCUCCUGUCCCUGGGUCGUUCUCCUGGCCUCGGGAUGUUCUCCUGUCCCUGGAAGGUUCUCCUGGCCCCGGGACAUUCUCCUGGCCCCGGGACGUUCUCCUAGCCCUGGGUUGUUCUCCUGUCCCUGGAAGGUUCUCCUGGCCCCGGGACGUUCUCCUGUCGCAGGAAGGUUCUCCUGUCCCCGGGACGUUCUCCUGGCCCCGGGACGUUCUCCUGUCGCAGGAAGGUUCUCCUGUCCCCGGGACGUUCUCCUGGCCCCGGGACGUUCUCCUGUCGCAGGAAGGUUCUCCUGGCCCCGGGACAUUCUCCCGUCCCUGCGAUGUUCCCCCACCCCAUCAUCCUUCCCUGGGGACACCCCCCUGCUCCAAAGACCUCCUCCUGCCCCAGGAGCACCCUCUUGUCCCAGCAUCUCACCUUGGGGACAUCCUGCUGCCCUGGGGACAUUCUCUUGUCCCAGCAUCCCACCUUGGGGACAUCCUGCUGCCCUGGGGACAUUCUCUUGUCCCAGCAUCCCACCUUGGGGACAUCCUGCUGCCCUGGAGACAUUCUCUUGUCCCAGCAUCCCACCCUGGGGACAUCCUGCUGCCCUGGAGACAUUCUCUUGUCCCAGCAUCCCACCCUGGGGACGUCCUGCUGGCCUGA